UACGUAGGGGGCAAGCGUUGUCCGGAAUCAUUGGGCGUAAAGAGCUCGUAGGCGGCUUGUUGCGUCGACUGUGAAAACCUGCGGCUCAACCGUGUGGUCUGCAGUCGAUACGGGCAGGCUGGAGUUCGGUAGGGGAGACUGGAAUUCCUGGUGUAGCGGUGAAAUGCGCAGAUAUCAGGAGGAACACCGGUGGCGAAGGCGGGUCUCUGGGCCGAUACUGACGCUGAGGAGCGAAAGCGUGGGGAGCGAACAGG
rnacentral:rRNA from 1 species